UCACCUCACUCUCCCAGACGAGGCCCCCCAAGCCCCCUCACUCGUCGCACAUGCGCACAAAGCUCACCGGAACUCCAUGCCCCGGCAGGCUUUGCGCCAAACUCAUCCGUCCCCUUCCCCCCAAUACUCAGACACCUAGCCUUCCGUUCCCCUUCCGCCCCCCACCGGCCUCACCCGGAACUACGUUUCCCAGGAAGCAUCGCGGCAAAAGGACGCGUCCCUUUAGCAACUCGUCGUGACGAACUUCGCACGCCCGUCUCCAGAUAGCUCUGAACUACGCUUUCCAAGGGGUGUCGAGAACGGCCCACGGCCUACUAGCCCAAGCAAACAGGGUCUCUCAGCGCGCCAGGCUUGGAACUACAUUUCCCAGAAUGGCUGCAGGGUUUCCCCACCCCCCCAAAUUGGCUCGCGCGCAAGCAUGCGCAGAUGUGCCGACGGGAAGGCCGAGGUGGGGAGGAGGAGCUGUCAUGGCGGCAUUGUCCCGAAACAGGAGGCUAGAGGGUUCUGGGGAUGAAGUCAGUGAGAUGCGCUGGGCGAAGAGUUGGAACCAGAACACCUGCUGUCAAAGUCAGGCUGAUUGAAGGUUCUGGAGGACUGGUCCCAGGGCACCUCAGGAGGGCUGGAAGUUGUGGUGUGUGAGUCCACGGGCGCCGUCCCAGGCCUCGGGGCUUCAACAGCACAGUUCUUCUCUCCCAGUUUGGCCAGAAACCCAAGAUCAGGUGUCAGCAAAGUUGGUUUCGCACAAGCACUAACCACUCUUAGCAAGAAGGCCAAUUCUCUGGUAUGGGAUCCAUAUAUAAUGAUCAAUUUUCUUUCUUUCUUUUUUUUUUUUUUUAAAUAAUUUUUAGUUUCAUUUUUCAAGAAAGAAUUCCAACCAAGCUUGAAAAUAACACUCUUGGGACCCCUGGGUGGCUCCGUCGGUUGGGCAUGUGCCAUCAGCUCAUGUCAGGAUCCCACGGUUCUGGGACUGAGUCCCGCAUGGGACUCCUUGCUCAGCGGGGAGCCUGCUUCCCCCUCUGCUGGCCGCGCCCCCUGCUGUGUGCACGAUCACUUUCUCUGACAAGUAAAUAAGAUCUUUAAAAAAAUUAAAAAUAAAUAAAUACAUACAUAAAUAAAUAAGAAAAUA
rnacentral:lncRNA from 1 species